AUGCCCGUGCAGCCCUGCCACACGCCAGCCCCCACCAGCACCUCUCCCACUCCCAGACCUGCCCCUCCACCUCCAAUGCACCGCUCAGUCUGCAGACCCCGUCCUCACACCUCUGUAUCCCCCCUCACCCCUUACCAGGUACCUCGACACCUCCGGCACCUCCACCCCUCUCCUGGCCUCACCGCAGCAACAUUCAGACAUUGGAGCUCCACCCACACAGCCCUCAGCCCAGUCUCUGCUCCCACUUCUCAGAUGAGUACAUCAAGGCUCAGACAUACAGAAGGGCUCCAGCUCCUUGACCUGAGGUUUCUUGAUUCUGCUUCAGCAACGGGAGGGAGGCCUGAGUCCAACGCCAAGAGACAGCAUCUUGAAGCUCCAGGAGACAGCAUGCGUAGGUGUACACACAUGCCUCCCCUGGCAGGUCCCGUGCGAGGUUCACACUCCAGAGAAAAUGCCUGCAUGGACCUCAGCAGGGCAGAAAAGAGAACGCGGCUCGAGGAUGUAAACUGUCAGGGCAGCAACCUGAACACGCUCACUUGCAACACGCUCAGGAGCACUCCGCCUCAACCCCCUUCUGGCCUCCUCACACUCCAUACGGGCCUCUGGCUCCCUGCUCUUGUCUCCCCACAGUCCACUGUCAACCCAGCAGCCAGAGGGACCUCACUAAGCCUAAAUCAGAUCACGUCCCUCCCCAACUCAAGCCCUGCUCUGGCUCCCCACUUCCAUCAAAGUCUUGCAGUGACCCACCAGGACCACCCUAUCCAUCUCCCUCGCCCUCCACUCUCUGACCUCACCUCCUACCAUACUCUGCCUCUCUCAUUCCACUGGCUUCAACGACCUUGCCUCUCCUUGAAUGCACCAGGCCCAAUCCUGCCUCAGGGCUUUUGCACUAGCUGUUCUCUCUGCCCAGAAGUCUCUUCCCCCAGAAUUCUGCAUGGCUCACCCAGAUCAGUUCUGCUUAGAUGUCACCUCCUCAGUGAGGCCCUCCUUGACUACCCUACUUAA
rnacentral:lncRNA from 1 species